UGGGGUAUAGCUUGGUGGCAGAGCACUUGCCUAACAUGUACAAGAGUCUGGGUUCAAUCCCUAGUAUCAUAG
rnacentral:tRNA from 1 species